rnacentral:rRNA from 1 species
UACGAAGGGGGCUAGCGUUGCUCGGAAUUACUGGGCGUAAAGCGCACGUAGGCGGAUUGUUAAGUCGGGGGUGAAAUCCUGGAGCUCAACUCCAGAACUGCCUUCGAUACUGGCGAUCUCGAGUUCGGGAGAGGUGAGUGGAACUGCGAGUGUAGAGGUGAAAUUCGUAGAUAUUCGCAAGAACACCAGUGGCGAAGGCGGCUCACUGGCCCGAUACUGACGCUGAGGUGCGAAAGCGCGGGGAGCAAACAGG